GUGCCAGCAGUCGCGGUAACACGUAAAGGGCGAGCAAUACACAUAAUAGGCAUAAAGGGUCAGUAAUACGGAUUAAUAAUAAUCUAGAAUAUAUUAUUAAAUUAUAUGAGGUAUAUGAGUAAUGGUUAAAUAUAGAAAUACAUAUAUUACAGCUAAUAUAAGAAAUUAUAUAAUUAUAAAUAUAUUGACGUUGAGUGACGAAACUUAGAGUAUCGAAUAGGAUUAGUUAACCUAUAAGUUCUAAGCGUAAACGAUGUAUACUGAUAUUUAUAUAUAAUAUAUAUAUAAAUAUUAAGCUAAUGCGUAAGUAUAUCGCCAGGGAAGUACUUAAUAAUCGAAGAAACCCAAAACAAUAGACAGUCUAAGAUAUAACAGUGGAUUAUGUUAUUUAAU
rnacentral:rRNA from 1 species